UACGAAGGGGGCUAGCGUUGUUCGGAAUUACUGGGCGUAAAGGGCGCGUAGGCGGUUUGUACAGUCAGGUGUGAAAUUCCCGGGCUCAACCUGGGGGCUGCACUUGAUACGUAGGAACUGGAGUGGGGAAGAGGGUCGUGGAAUUCCCAGUGUAGAGGUGAAAUUCGUAGAUAUUGGGAAGAACACCGGUGGCGAAGGCGGCGACCUGGUCCUUGACUGACGCUGAGGCGCGAAAGCGUGGGGAGCAAACAGG
rnacentral:rRNA from 1 species